AACGAACGCUGGCGGCGCGUCUUAAGCAUGCAAGUCGAACGGCAAGAGAGGAGCUUGCUUCUCUCCUAGAGUGGCGGACUGGUGAGGAACACGUGGGUAAUCUACCCUUAAGAUGGGGAUAGCUGCUAGAAAUAGCAGGUAAUACCGAAUACACUCGGCAUAUCACAAGAGGUGUUGAGGAAAGGAAGCUACGGCUUCGCUUGAGGAUGAGCUUGCGUCCCAUUAGCUAGUUGGUGAGGUAAAGACCCACCAAGGCGACGAUGGGUAUCCGGCCUGAGAGGGUGAACGGACACAUUGGGACUGAGAUACGGCCCAAACUCCUACGGGAGGCAGCAGCUAAGAAUAUUCCGCAAUGGACGGAAGUCUGACGGAGCGACGCCGCGUGGAUGAAGAAGGCUGAACAGUUGUAAAAUCCUUUUGUUGAUGAAGAAUAAGGGUGAGAGGGAAUGCUCAUCUGAUGACGGUAAUCGACGAAUAAGCCCCGGCUAAUUACGUG
rnacentral:rRNA from 1 species